rnacentral:rRNA from 1 species
GACGAAGGGGGCUAGCGUUGUUCGGAAUUAUUGGGCGUAAAGAGCUCGUAGGCGGUGUGUCGCGUCGGCCGUGAAAACCUGCAGCUUAACUGUGGGCUUGCGGUCGAUACGGGCAUCACUGGAGUUCGGCAGGGGAGACUGGAAUUCCUGGUGUAGCGGUGAAAUGCGCAGAUAUCAGGAGGAACACCGGUGGCGAAGGCGGGUCUCUGGGCCGAUACUGACGCUGAGGAGCGAAAGCGUGGGGAGCGAACAGG